GUCUACAGCCAUGCUACCCUGAACAAGCCCGAUCCCAUCUGAUCUCGAAAGCUAAGCAGGGUCAAGAUUGGUUAGUACUUGGAUGGGAGACCACCUAGGAAGACCAGGUGCUGUAGAUA
rnacentral:rRNA from 1 species